UGGCCCACUAGCUGAACGACACGGCUUCUAGGAUUUCUUGGCCUUUCCCUCCUGCUGGCAUGAAUACUGCUAUCAUUAAGACUGUGAUUCACGCUGAAGAAAGAGGAAGACCUAGUGCUUGUCUAAGCAGGAAAAAGCUUCCCUCAGAAAUCCCUGAGGAAUCUGGAAGGUUGGCUUUCAGCUGCCCAGCCUUCACGGUAAAGAACAGCAGGGAACAUGGGUGAGAGCUGAGUGGAGGGAGAUGACCUGUAGAUUCCUCCGCGGGAUAAGAGACUGUACAGGAAAACAAAUACAAGUUUUUGGACAACAACAAAGAUGACCACCAAAAGAACUCAUUCCUCUGGAGCUGUUUUUCAUACUGCUGUAUCUUUGAAUUGAUCAAAUGCCGAGAGACUUGUUGCUUUCAAACCUUGUGGGAGCCAUGCACUGGCAGGGAGAGAUAGAAACCUUCUUUUAGCAGCUGAUUACCAG